GGCUGGAGAGAUGGCUCAGAGGU
rnacentral:piRNA from 2 species